CCUACGGGAGGCUGCAGUGGGGAAUAUUGGACAAUGGGGGCAACCCUGAUCCAGCCAUGCCGCGUGUGUGAAGAAGGCCCUCGGGUUGUAAAGCACUUUCAGUGAGGAAGAACGCCUGGUGGUUAAUACCCAUCAGGAAAGACAUCACUCACAGAAGAAGCACCGGCUAACUCCGUGCCAGCAGCCGCGGUAAUACGGAGGGUGCGAGCGUUAAUCGGAAUUACUGGGCGUAAAGCGCGCGUAGGUGGCUUGAUAAGCCGGUUUGUAAAGCCCCGGGCUCAACCUGGGAACGGCAUCCGGAACUGUCAAGCUAGAGUGCAGGAGAGGAAGGUAGAAUUCCCGGUGUAGCGGUGAAAUGCGUAGAGAUCGGGAGGAAUACCAGUGGCGAAGGCGGCCUUCUGGACUGACACUGACACUGAGGUGCGAAAGCGUGGGUAGCAAACAGGAUUAGAUACCCCGGUAGUC
rnacentral:rRNA from 1 species